AGAGUUUGAUCAUGGCUCAGAACGAACGCUGGCGGGUGGAUAAGACAUGCAAGUCGGACGGGAACUUUCGUUGUAGCAAUACGAUGGAAGUUUCAGUGGCGAACGGGUGCGUAACACGUGGGCAAUUUGCCUUAAAGUGUGGGAUAGCUCGGCGAAAGCCGGAUUAAUACCGCAUGUGGCUACUGGAGACAUCUUCGGGACGCUAAAGGUGGCGCAAGCUACCGCUUUUUGAGGAGCCCGCGGCCUAUCAGCUUGUUGGCGAGGUAACGGCUCACCAAGGCGUUGACGGGUAGCUGGUCUGAGAGGACGACCAGCCACACUGGGACUGAGACACGGCCCAGACACCUACGGGUGGCAGCAGUCGAGAAUUUUUGACAAUGGGGGAAACCCUGAUCGAGCGACGCCGCGUGGAGGAUGAAGGUCUUCGGGUUGUAAACUCCUGCCAUUUGGGAACAAGGCGGAUGUAUUAACUGUACAUGCGUUGAUAGUACCAGAAGAGGAAGAGACGGCUAACUCUGUGCCAGCAGCCGCGGUAAUACAGAGGUCUCAAGCGUUGUUCGGAUUCAUUGGGCGUAAAGGGUGUGUAGGUGGCGCGCUAAGUCGGGUGUGAAAUUUCGGAGCUUAACUCCGAAACUGCAUUCGAUACUGGCGUGCUUGAGGACUGGAGAGGAGACUGGAAUUUACGGUGUAGCAGUGAAAUGCGUAGAUAUCGUAAGGAAGACCAGUGGCGAAGGCGGGUCUCUGGACAGUUCCUGACACUGAGACACGAAGGCCAGGGGAGCAAACGGGAUUAGAUACCCUAGUAGUCC
rnacentral:rRNA from 1 species